AUCAAAGUGGCGUAGCGGAAGUGUGGUGGGCCAAUAACCCACAGGUCCUAAGAUCGAAACUUGGCUUUGAUA
rnacentral:tRNA from 1 species